rnacentral:tRNA from 1 species
GGGUCGUUAGCUCAGUCGGUAGAGCAGCGGACUUUUAAUCCGUUGGUCGAGCG